rnacentral:sRNA from 1 species
AGCCAUCGAAACCACACACGCACCGACACACUGUCCUGGGUGCCCGCAAGGGUUGGACUUUGGGGUGCGUGGAGGCUCAACC